rnacentral:rRNA from 1 species
GAUGUAGGGCGCGAGCGUUGUUCGGAAUUACUGGGCGUAAAGCGUACGUAGGCGGCUUUGUAAGUUAGAGGUGAAAGCCCGGGGCUCAACCCCGGAAUUGCCUUUAAGACUGCAUCGCUUGAAUCGCGGAGAGGUGAGUGGAAUUCCUGGUGUAGCGGUGGAAUGCGCAGAUAUCAGGAGGAACACCAAUAGCGAAGGCAGCUCGCUGGGACGUUACUGACACUGAGGCGCGAAAGCGUGGGGAGCGAACAGG